rnacentral:rRNA from 1 species
AGUGAACGCUGGCGGUAGGCCUAACACAUGCAAGUCGAACGGCAGCACAGUAAGAGCUUGCUCUUACGGGUGGCGAGUGGCGGACGGGUGAGGAAUACAUCGGAAUCUACUUUUUCGUGGGGGAUAACGUAGGGAAACUUACGCUAAUACCGCAUACGACCUACGGGUGAAAGCAGGGGAUCUUCGGACCUUGCGCGAUUGAAUGAGCCGAUGUCGGAUUAGCUAGUUGGCGGGGUAAAGGCCCACCAAGGCGACGAUCCGUAGCUGGUCUGAGAGGAUGAUCAGCCACACUGGAACUGAGACACGGUCCAGACUCCUACGGGAGGCAGCAGUGGGGAAUAGUGGACAAUGGGCGCAAGCCUGAUCCAGCCAUACCGCGUGGGUGAAGAAGGCCUGCGGGUUGUAAAGCCCUUUUGUUGGGAAAGAAAAGCAGCAGGUUAAUACCCCGCUGUUCUGACGGUACCCAAAGAAUAAGCACCGGCUAACUUCGU